rnacentral:rRNA from 1 species
CCUACGGGAGGCAGCAGUAAGGAAUAUUGGUCAAUGGAGGCAACUCUGAACCAGCCAUGCCGCGUGCAGGAAGACAGCCCUCUGGGUCGUAAACUGCUUUUAUUCGGGAAUAAACCUUAUUACGUGUAAUAAGCUGAAUGUACCGAAGGAAUAAGGAUCGGCUAACUCCGUGCCAGCAGCCGCGGUAAUACGGAGGAUCCAAGCGUUAUCCGGAUUUAUUGGGUUUAAAGGGUGCGUAGGCGGCUUAUUAAGUCAGGGGUGAAAGACGGUGGCUCAACCAUCGCAGUGCCUUUGAUACUGAUGAGCUUGAAUGAACUAGAGGUAGGCGGAAUGUGACAAGUAGCGGUGAAAUGCAUAGAUAUGUCACAGAACACCGAUUGCGAAGGCAGCUUACUAUGGUUUUAUUGGCGCUGAGGCACGAAAGCGUGGGGAUCAAACAGGAUUAGAUACCCUGGUAGUCCACGCCCUAAACGAUGAAUACUCGCUGUUAGCGAUAUACAGUUAGCGGCUAAGCGAAAGCGUUAAGUAUUCCACCUGGGGAGUACGCCCGCAAGGGUGAAACUCAAAGGAAUUGACGG